rnacentral:rRNA from 1 species
UACGUAGGGUGCGAGCGUUGUCCGGAAUUAUUGGGCGUAAAGAGCUCGUAGGCGGUUUGUCACGUCUGCUGUGAAAUCCCGAGGCUCAACCUCGGGCCUGCAGUGGAUACUGGCGAGCUGGAGUGCGGUAGAGGAAGGUGGAAUUCCCGGUGUAGCGGUGAAAUGCGUAGAUAUCAAGAGGAACACCUGAGGUGAAGACGGGUUGCUGGGCUGACACUGACGCUGAGGCGCGAAAGCUAGGGGAGCAAACGGG